UGGAUGUGUUUCCUUCCCUCAUACAUAUGCUGACUGUGCAGAGAUAAAACUUCUACUCAACAAUUUUCAGUUCAGCUUUUUGUUUGCUUGCUUGUUUGGAUUCUUGAGACAGCGUUUCUCUGUAUAGCCAUGGCUGCCUUGGAACUCAUUCCGUAGACCAGGUUGGUCUUGAACUCAAGAUCCUCUCAAGGUCUUUUUGUUUUUUAGAUAGGGUCUUGGGCUGGAGAGAUGGCUCAGCAGUUAAGAGCACUGACUACUUUUCCAGAGGUCCUGAGUUCAAUUCCCAGCAACCACAUGGUGGCUCACAACCAUCUAUAAUGGGAUCCAAUGCCCUCUUCUGACAGAGUCUCUGGCUAUCCUGGAAUUUGCUCUGUAGACCAGGCUGGCCUCAAACUCACAGAGAUCCACCUGCCUCUGCCUCCCAAGUGCUGGGAUUCAAGGUAGCCCAGUGGACUGAAAUUUUAAAGUAGCCAGAACAGGCCUCUUUGAGAAAGUUUCUUCCAGCUGCCCGGAGGACGUGCAGGAAUGCUUCAUGGAGAUUUCUUGGGAAGAUUUUCAGGCUUUAGGCAGAACUCCAAAGAUCCUAAGGUAGGAAUCAGUCUGAAAGGAGAAGCUGGGAAAUAGGGUAGAUUGUGUAGUCUCUUAGACUUUAGGCUUUUGGCGUUCAGCAAGAAGGGGUUUAAACCAUCUUUGAAUACAAACUUACCUGAUUUUCUUCCCAGUAUCUGGAUGUGUUCCUGUGGAGUGACAUCUGACAGGGACCUGCCCCUGCAACUCCCAGCAGCCUCCCUCUCAGGCUUGGGUAGGGUUCACUCCACCCCGUUCAGUUGUUUUUACGACAUGCUCCCAGCCCUGCAAGCUCAGUUUCCUAAUCAGAGAGCAAAUUAAAGGUGGCAGGCACUCCACGACCUGUCUUCCCUUCCCCUCAGGCGUUGACUUUUAGGACAGUCACUGUGGGAGCCUCCGAGUGCAACUCUAAGAGUUGGGGCUCAGAGAAACUGGGAAUGCAGAAUAGUGC
ensembl:lncRNA